GAUGAAGAACGUAGCGAAAUGCGAUAAGUAAUGUGAAUUGCAGAGUUCAGUGAAUCAUCGAAUCUUUGAACGCACAUUGCGCCCCCUGGUAUUCCGGGGGGCAUGCCUGUUCGAGCGUCAUUUCACCACUCAAGCCUCGCUUGGUAUUGGGCAACGCGGUCCGCCGCGUGCCUCAAAUCGACCGGCUGGGUCUUCUGUCCCCUAAGCGUUGUGGAAACUAUUCGCUAAAGGGUGUUCGGGAGGCUACGCCGUAAAACAACCCCAUUUCUAAGGUUGACCUCGGAUCAGGUAGGGAUACCCGCUGAACUUAAGCAUAUCAAUAAGCGGAGGA
rnacentral:misc_RNA from 1 species